AACGGGGGGACCAAGCGUAUUCGUCUUGAUUGGGCGUAAAGGGCAAGUAGACGGUUUUAUUUCAAAUUACAGAUUAAAUCUUUGCUUUUCAAGCUUAAAUUCUGUAAGUUAAUAAACUUGAGUGCGAUAGAGGAUAGCAGUACUCUCAGUGGAGGGGUAAUAUAUCCAUUGAUACUGAUGGGGACUCUCAGAGGCGAAGGCGGCUAUCUGGAUCGUUACUGACGUUGAGAGGCGAAAGCGUGGGGAGCAAACGGG
rnacentral:rRNA from 1 species